rnacentral:rRNA from 1 species
GAUGAACGCUGGCGGCGUGCCUAAUACAUGCAAGUCGAGCGAACGGACGAGAAGCUUGCUUCUCUGAUGUUAGCGGCGGACGGGUGAGUAACACGUGGAUAACCUACCUAUAAGACUGGGAUAACUUCGGGAAACCGGAGCUAAUACCGGAUAAUAUUUUGAACCGCAUGGUUCAAAAGUGAAAGACGGUCUUGCUGUCACUUAUAGAUGGAUCCGCGCUGCAUUAGCUAGUUGGUAAGGUAACGGCUUACCAAGGCAACGAUGCAUAGCCGACCUGAGAGGGUGAUCGGCCACACUGGAACUGAGACACGGUCCAGACUCCUACGGGAGGCAGCAGUAGGGAAUCUUCCGCAAUGGGCGAAAGCCUGACGGAGCAACGCCGCGUGAGUGAUGAAGGUCUUCGGAUCGUAAAACUCUGUUAUUAGGGAAGAACAGAUGUGUAAGUAACGGUGCACAUCUUGACGGUACCUAAGCAGAAAACCACGGCUAACUACGU